CCCCCAGGCUUUUUACAUACCAGAGGCUGCCAGGAACUCCAGGAGCUUCUGAUGAGUGACUAGACUCAUUCAGGUUCAGCAGGAGCCACCCAGGGUACCCUCAGAAGCCUUAGCCAGGACAGCAAAGCUCUGGAGAAUGUAGAGAGAACUCAGUAAAUGUAGAGAGAGCUGGUAGACACCAAAUGCCUUCCAUGCCUGGACUCACAGCAACAUCAUCAGGAAGGAGUGAUACUUUGCCUGUUUCACAGGAAAAUGAGGUCAAGCGACCACACUAAGGUGGCACAGAACCUUGGUCUACCUUCAUCCAAAGCUCAUUCCGACAGUCGUCAUACUUGAUGCAGCAAGUGCUAAGACGCAUGAUGUCAGCUGGGUAAUGCUAGCAGCCUGAGAUGCCGGAACUCAACUCGCCACUUUCCAACUAAGGAUCUCUUGAACUCACUGAUCUGCCUAUUCGCUGCAAUCCGUUUCAGGACAGCUGUGUCCCCUUCGGGGCCAGGCCCCUGGCAACUCCCACAGGUAGACGUGCAUCCGGAGAGGAGCUUUUUGCCGGUUUUCAACUUGCCUCACUCAUGGGAAAUGCAUAGAGGGACCUUUCUGGUUUCAUCCAACAAGCAGGAUUCUUGUAAGUUCCAGGGAGCCGAUUCAGAUCCAAACAGGUCAGCUUCACUCCAGGUAAUAUUCAAUCUUUCCCUGGUCCCAGGAUUCCCUUCCCUCAUAUUAGGACUCCUCGGGAACCCCUCCCUCAUCUUACAAUCUUCCCCUCAAAUGACAGGACCUAAGAAAAAAAAUUUUUCUAAACUUAACCUUGUCCUCUGCUCUGUCAACACCUUGCCAGGUCUAAGAGACGCCAGGUAGUUCCAUAUAGCCUGGACUACAAUGAAACAACCAGCUUCCCCAGGACGUGGCAGCACCCCAAACUUCUCGGGUCCCCCAAAG
rnacentral:lncRNA from 1 species